UACGAAGGGUGCAAGCGUUACUCGGAAUUACUGGGCGUAAAGCGUGCGUAGGUGGUUUGUUAAGUCUGAUGUGAAAGCCCCCGGCUCAACCGGGGAAGUGCAUCUGAAACUGGCGAGCUAGAGUACGAAAGAGGGUCGCGGAAUUCCCGGUGUAGAGGUGAAAUUCGUAGAUAUCGGGAGGAACACCGGUGGCGAAGGCGGCGACCUGGGUCGAUACUGACGCUGAGGUGCGAAAGCGUGGGGAGCAAACAGG
rnacentral:rRNA from 1 species